UCGGAACAAAAAGCAGUAGGAAGCUAUUUGUCACCUUCACUGUCUUUCACCCUUGUACCAUGUACGCCACUUUGACCCCCAUCGGAAAAGAACCCAUUCCCUCCAUUAAAACCAGUAGCUUCCUCCAUUAAAAUACUAGUCAGGCAAAUACACGAGCUCUCCACCUCGUAUUUAGUUUUUCCUCCAAAUCCAAGUCCCCAACAAUGGCAAUGAGUAAAGCUAAAAAUUUACCCGAAGAAAUCAUAGUUGACAUACUUACCCGGCUGCCCGCAAAGUCCGUAGGUCAAUUCAGGUGCGUAUCAAAGCGAUGGUGCUCUCUUCUCUCAUACCCACAUUUCAUCAAAGCUCACCUCAAUUUGUAUGCCCAUAAGAGUGAAAAGAAACUCAUUUUUACCUCUCGUUCAAAUUCUAUUCACACUAUCACGUUUAACCGCAACCACCAAAAUGGAACAAUUGAUGCCAUUUCAAGAAACCUAAAUUUACAGCAGCUCCCAGAGAACUGGGUUAAUGUGCUUGGCUCAUGUAAUGGCUUAGUCUUGGUGAUGAAUGAGGACAAUAUCACUUUUUUGAUAAACCCCACAACCUUAAAGUACCAUAGAAUUCCAACCUUUCAUUUGGCUCUUCCUGUGCCAGAUAGCCUUAGCAUGUAUGGUUUAGGGUAUGAUUCUGCUGGCGAUGAUUAUAAGUUGGUUAAUCUUUCUCGUAGAUGGGAUCUUGCCUCUACUUUUGUGGAUGUCUACUCUGUGAAAACGGGUCUAUGGAGGAGAGUUGAGAGUUCAACUCAUGAUCAUAUAACGCUUUCGGUUGGUUCUUGUUCUGGUUCUCUGGGGUUUUGGUAAAUGGAGCUUUGCAUUGGAUGGCUCAGAAAGAUUCCGAUCCUUCAUGUAUAAUUGAAGCUUAUAAUUAAUCAUGUAUUGUUGUUGCUCCUCCUACAUGUAUAAUUGUUGCUUUUGAUUUAAGUGAUGAGAAAUUCUUGGAGGUGCCAACACCUACUGAGCUUUAUAACCUUGAUUUGCUUGGGUGUAAUAUUGUGGCUCUUAGAGGGUGUCUUUGUGUGUUCUCUAGACGUGGGAAAGUUUGGAUGAUGAGAGAAUAUGGUUUUGAUGAGUCUUGGACCAGAUUUAGUAUUACAGAACCACCAAAUAUAGUGUCACGUUUGACCCCCUUAUGUUUCGUGAGUGAUGAUAAUGUUGUACUGGAUGUGGAUGGAGUGAAGUUGAUUGUCUACAAUAGGAAAGAAGAUCAGUGGAGGGAUAUGAUGGUUGAUUGAUUAACUCCUACAUUUCACAGAACUAAACCUUUCAUGGAGAGUUUUGUCUCUCCUACGUUUGGAGGUAUCUUUAUUGCUUGACGUUCUGAGAUGAUGCUGUAUUCAGGAAUUAAUCUACUCUAGCAGAAUUGGACAUUAAGAGAGCUGCGCACAGAAGCCUGGAUCUUAAUAUAUUUUAAUCCCAAGGGUGUUUCUCCUUAAUUUAUUAUUUUAUGACAUUGAUACUAUUUUAAUUUUUGGAAAAUGAUUGGAGGGUUUUCCAAGAAGACUUGGAAUUGUGAUUUCUUUCUUAGGGUGUUGGUACUAUCUUUUUGGCCUUUAUUGGUGUUAAUGUUUUAUUGUUUUUUUCAUCUUUAUAGUAUUAUUCAGAGGAAGAGGAAGUGCAGGGCUUCUAA